rnacentral:lncRNA from 1 species
CAGAAAUUGUUUAGAUGUAAAUUCAAUCAAUCUUCCACACGCUACAAAAUAGGAAUUCUCAUUUAAAAUUUAAAUUACCAUGGCUUAUCAAACAAGUUAUCGAAACUAGACUCCAAAAAAGUAAUCCUAGCAAUUUGAAAUCAAAAUCUCAUAAAUACAAUAUGAUCAAGAUAUCCUUAAUUCCAUGUAAAUCAGCCUUCCUAAGCAGAGGAUAUAAUUGAAUCUGGAAAGCUUGUUAAAUAGAAGACAAAUUUUAUCUCCAAGCAAGUUGACCAGAGGAAGAAUGUCUUUCGACAAGGAUGAAAAGAUUGCUUUCACAGAUCAGUUGCCUUUGGUGAUUGAUAGAUAGGUAGGGGGG